UACGGAGGGUGCAAGCGUUAUCCGGAUUCACUGGGUUUAAAGGGUGCGUAGGUGGGCAGGUAAGUCAGUGGUGAAAUCUCCGAGCUUAACUCGGAAGCUGCCAUUGAUACUAUCUGUCUUGAAUUAUCUGGAGGUGAGCGGAAUAUGUCAUGUAGCGGUGAAAUGCUUAGAUAUGACAUAGAACACCAAUUGCGAAGGCAGCUCACUACGGAUAUAUUGACACUGAGGCACGAAAGCGUGGGGAUCAAACAGG
rnacentral:rRNA from 1 species